UUAGGAAUCUUCCACAAUGGGCGAAAGCCUGAUGGAGCGACACCGCGUGAAGGAUGAAGGCCCUAGGGUCGUAAACUUCUAAAAGAGGGACGAUAAUGACGGUACCUCUUGAGAAGCACCGGCUAACUCCGUGCCAGCAGCCGCGGUAAUACGGAGGGUGCAAGCGUUAUCCGGAAUCACUGGGCGUAAAGGGCGCGUAGGCGGUCUGUUAAGUCUGGCGUUAAAGCCUGGGGCUCAACCCCAGAUCAGCGUUGGAUACUGGCAGRCUAGACGGCUGGAGAGGCGAGUGGAAUUACCAGUGUAGCGGUGGAAUGCGUAGAUACUGGUAGGAACACCCAUUGCGAAGGCAGCUCGCUGGACAGCACGUGACGCUGAGGCGCGAAAGUGUGGGGAGCAAACCGGAUUAGAUACCCGGGUAGUCCACACCCUAAACGAUGCAUACUUGGUAUUGGCCCGUUGGGGUCAGUGCCGGAGCUA
rnacentral:rRNA from 1 species